GUAGUUUAUGGUAUUUCUGUUGCUGCUGGUGAGAUUUUCAGGAAACAUGCUCGGAUGUUGAAACUGGAUGUUAUUACACCAUUGAUUCCUGUGCAAGGAAGUAUAUUGUCUCAAGGAACUUAUGAAGAUGAUUCAAGUAUGUAUAGUUCUUUGCUAGACAUUGAGACUGACAGCACUGUACCCCAUCUACCACCUUCCCUACCAUCAUGGAUGUGGGCCUCUAAUGUGGCAAUAUAUUCCAAUCACUCACCAAAGGGCAAUAUGCUGGAUGAAGAAAGACCUCCAUGGGGCUGGACUGAUGAGGGAACGGAGAUCAAAAACUCCUCAUUUUCAUGUUCUAAGUUAUUUUCGCUGAUUGAGAUGCCAUUGACAGUGCCUAGACGGUUAACAAUACCAUUGGUUGAUGAAGGAACAUGGUCAAAACCCUAUGCUGUAGCCAGUGUUACAUUGGCUCCUAUUCUUCUGGCAUUUCUGUG
rnacentral:misc_RNA from 1 species